rnacentral:lncRNA from 1 species
AGCAGGGGCAGUCGCCGCGCCCUCCCUCCCUCAGCGGUGUGCGAAUGUGUGUGUGCGGUGUUAUGCCGGACAAGAGGGAGGCGACCGUGGCGGCUCUGUUUAUUGUCUCUCUCGGUGUGUGGAUGUGAGGAGUCUGGGGCCGAAGCGCAGCGGUUUAGACGGCCUUUGGGACAGUGGGAGCGAGCGCGCCGAGGAGUCGGGCGCCGCGAGAGGCCGGCCUUCGCCGAGUGUGAGAAGGACGAGGCACCCCGCGCCCCCGCCACGUCUGGACGCCCCGGGCUCCGCAGCAGCGCUCGGCAGCUCGCGGCUCCCGGCUUCUGCCCCAUUUGCUGCGGCGCGGACUGUCGAGUGAGGACGCGGCUGCGCUACUGCCGCGCUACUGCCGCCGCCGGCCGCCUCGCUCCGUCUUCCUUUUCCUCGCCGCUGCGCUAGGCCCGGGCAACGCGGCCGCCGCGCCUCGAGUUUGAGGGCGGCCGGCGGCGCAGCCUCGGCGGCGGGCUCGGCCGGACGUCCGCUCCGGGACCCGGGAUGGGGCGCGUCGGCCGGCGCGGCUAGGAGCGCGGCGAGGGCAGCGGUCGGUGCGGAGCGGCGUGUGCCCAGCGGCCCCCACAGGGAGGCGAGAGCAGCGGCCGCGACCUCGGGGCCUGCGAGCUGGAGGGCCCCGCCAUGGCCAAGUCCGGCGGCUGCGGCGCGGGAGCCGGCAAUGGGGCGCUGACCUGGGUGUUUACAGGUCAAGUUGGGAAGGCUCCUUCGAUUUGGAGGGCAUUUGGGAUGAGUGUUUCACAGCAGUUAAAAUACGGUAGAUCGCCCAUCUGUCAGGGUGAGAUUAUUAAAAGAAGAGCUUACUUACGUCAGCGUCUCAGGUGAAGCUGAAUAGGAGCUGAAGUGGACGUCCUGGAGAGGUGACUGAAGUACUUAGUCCUGGAGUUCAAGGAUUUGGCGCUCAAUUCCUGCUGCGAAGUAAAAGUAGCAAUUGUGGAGAACUGGUGAGACCAGAUUCCCAUGACAGAUCGAUACUGUAAUUCACCGCAUUUCACUUGCUCAGCAUAGCGUUCAGACCUGGGUCAUUUCCUAUGCAAAAACCCAGCUCAGCCAACUGGGUAUCUAGGAGAAAAAUAAAAGCAUUACAUUUUUUAGGACUUUGAACGGACUGGUUCCCCCCAUCCCCGAUACCCGAAAGGAACUUUUU